CUUUGCCAUGUGUACUGACAUGCUGAUUUAUUAGUAAAACUUAGGGGUGCUCAGGAGAACUGAGUGAGGUAUGCUGUGUUGCUAUUUUGAGUUGUUAGGAAGGCUGCAAUGUGCACCCAGAGACUUUACCAGGGUUGCUCAGAAAGUGCAACUGGGGAGCAUGAAUUAAGAAAAUGUAGACAGCGAGCAAGCUGAGGAAAAGAGCUCCAGCAGAGUGAAGCCCUGAUUAGAACCACAGCGUGUCAUUUGAUCUUCAGAUGGCUAUAAAAGGUCUGUGUGAGUGGCCAUACUGCUCCUGUCCCAAAUGGAUGGUCAUGCAUGCUGCACAUCACCAUGCUUCUGGCAUGACUUCAGCAAAACUGGUCAGAGCUCCUUCCAGAGCUAAAACAACACAAGAUCAAGCUCUGGAUGGGAGUACAUGUUUUCACAGAAGACCAAGAGUACAGUGCAAAAGAAAAGACAUCAGUGCCUAGGGUAUGGAAUUAGGAGGGUGGCAGGUGUAUGGUAGAGCUGACUGCAGAUCUCCUGGGAGAAAUAAAGUGCACAAAGGCUUCCUGUGCCUCUGGGAAGCCCAGUGGGCCAGCCCUGGAGCGGG
ensembl:lncRNA